GUGGAAAGAGCAAGAGAAUGAAAAUUAGAAGUGGAGACUGAAGAUAUGGCUGAAUGGCUGCAAUCUCAUGACAAAAGUUUAAUGAAUGCAGAGUUGCUUCUUAUGGGUGAGCAAGAAAGUUACUGAGUUUCUUG